GACCGGCAAGCAACUGGCUGUUGUUUGACAAACGCAUGCUUAAAUAGUCUGUUUGACAAAUCCAAAGACGUAUAAGAGUGAGGUCAAAUCGGGCGUCUCUUAAAAUUUCUCUCGACAAACACGUGAAAUUUGACAAAUUGUCUGAUGGUUUACACGGGCGUAAAAUACAGGCGACUUUGUCCUGUAUUACAACCCAAGCCACGAACCAAGGCAAAGAUGUGCUCCAUUAUGGAUAAGUGCAACGUGGACUGUUUUUGAUGAAGGCAUCUGUCUGCGGAGUUUGUAUCAGAUUCAGUUUACAAUGUUUAACACAAGAGACUAACCAUUGGAAGUCUGUGCUCGAGGGCAAUGAAUAUUCUGAGGAGCAGAUCUAUUGAGCCGUGGAGUUUGGACUAUCACCAGCGAAACAUACAGACAAAUGUAGAUCAGUUGCUUUCCUACCUCAUGCUGAUGAUGAGGCUGACAAGAAGAGGUGCCCAGCAGUGGGAUCAACUUUUUGAAACCAUCUAUAUGGUUAUGUAGGUAAGAUACCAGGUAUUGCACACUGCAGCCAUUCAUUCUGGUGGGCCCUCAUUUACAAGUAAUUGAUGAAAAGAAUUCAUAUUUUGCUUGAUGCUGAAUAGUCUCAAAAAAAGGUGUAUUACAUUGACUAGUUGCAUGGUGUAAUGGAUAGGGUAAGGGCCUCACAUCCAGGAGGUUGUGGGUUCAAAUCACGUCACAAGAAGUAUUUUUAUUUUUAAAUCUUUAUUGAAAUGAAUUUUAUCAUAAUUUUGAUUCAAUUAAAUGAUUUAAAUGUAAUUUUUUAUUACCAUUCCUUUUCACCUUUUCAUAUGCUCUCAUUUUUCUCUCCAUAAUUCUUUUUCCAUUUGAAAUCUUUGUUUAUGUCUUUUAAUCAAUUACAUGUAUUAAUUUUGGUGUAAUUUCUUUUGUUUUUAUUAUCCUAUUUUUUUCAUCCAGUUUAUUGCAUUAAUUGUAUCUAUUUUUCAUUUUGCUUGACUUUCAUUUUACUUAUAAACCCUUAUUUUGUUUAAAUGUUCAUCUGCCUUUUUUUGUCCAUAGUGCAGUAGGAAUUUAGGCUAUCUUUUAGAUCUUUCUGUGACAACUGCCAUGGAAAAAGAAUUUGCACAUCUUUUAAUGAAAAGUGCAGUUUUCACACCACUACACAAUCAGAAGAAAUAGAUUAUUUCGCCUCUUGUUUUUUAACCAAUAGAUUAGAAUUUUCAAAUAACUGAAUAUUAUUAUAGAUGAAUAUAAUUAAAUUCAUACUCUCAAAAAAUCUGACUGGAAAAAGAAUGAUAUAAAGCAAAAAUGAAAAAGUUCACAUGGUGAUUAAAAUGUGACAAAUGAAUACAAAUUAAAAAUUUUAUUUAAACCAAUUAAUUGAAUACAAAUUUUGGUAAAGAUUUAAAAGUAAAAAAAAAAUUAUUGCAUGUGAUAAAAUUCAAACCCGCAACCUCCUGUAUGCAAAGCCCUUACACCAAGCAAUCAGUGAAUGUAAUACAACUUUUUUAAUGCUGUUGAGCAUCACACAAAAUUCCGAAAAUUUUUUCAUCAGACGAGAGCCCACGAAGGUGAAUGGCUGCAGGGUGUGAUACUGGGAUCUUAACCUACAUCACCUAUAUUUGUUUUCAAAAACUCAUUCCCAUUGUUGGGGGGGGGGCUCUCCUUGUAAGUAAAACCAAUGUGUAUAAAAUACCAUGUCACGGUGGCAAAACUUGCUUAGGCAAGAUCAUUCACAUGGUUUGGGAUGGCAAUGUGGAACACCAUCACUGCCACAUUAGAUUAAGAGCACAUAAAUAUAUACACAUACAGAACACUGCUUAACUGAGACACACUGUGGUGAAAUGGAGGAUACAGAUAGUUGCUCCCACACUAGAGUAUUGUGACUGUAUUAAAAAAAAUAAUAAAAAGAAAGAGUGUAAAUUGUUAUUUGUGGUCUUCAGUCCAAAGACUGGUUUGAUGCAGCUCUCCAUGCUACUCUAUCCUGUGAGAGCCUCUUCCUCUCCAAAUAACUGCUGCAACCCACCUCCUCCUGAAAGUGCUUACUGUAUUCAUCUCUUGGUAUCUCCCUAUGGUUUUUAUCCCCCCCCCCUCCUCCCUUCCCUAAAUGCCACAGAAUGUUUCCGAUCAACCAAUCCCUUCUUUUGGUCAAGUUGUGCCACAAAUUUUUCUCUCCAGUUCUGUUUAGUACUUCCUCAUUAGUUACGUGAUUGACCCAUCUAAUAUUCAACAUUGUUCUGUAGCACAAUAUUUCGAAAACUUCUAUCCUCUUUUUGCUUAAACUGUUUAUCGUUCAUGUUUCACUUCCGUCUUGCAUGAAAACUGUUGAGUCCAAUAUGUCUCUCUCCUGUAGAGCAGAUAUGACAUGAUGGCAAAGCAUAUUGCAGUUAAUGUUGGCCAGUCACAUUGCACUUUUUGGUCCUUGAGUGCUGUCCCAUUCAAAAAAAGAGUGGUGAAGACCUCACACUCGGCAGUUCUGUUUGUUCACCUCACCCAUCAGAGAAA